CAAGUUAAUAAGUAACACAGUUGCCCCUACGAGGGUCAAGGGUCACGAGCAUGCUAUCAGUGAGUGCCUAGAUUGGGCAGGGGGAUUCCUGAGGGAGGUGGGAGGCAAAUUCUGUCUCCACUGGAACCACCGACAUGGACACAGCCCACGGCCUGGAGUUUGUUCGGCAGAGCCCUCCUGUCCGCAGGGAGGCCAGGAACUCCCUUCUUCCAGGUGGUGGGGAAGCUCUCCAUCUCUACCUCGUCUGAUGAAGCGCGAGCUGGGGCUCGCAUCACAAAUGGAGCUUCUGAGCCAGAAAGCUGGCAAACCCUCAAUGGAGAGGAUGUUGAAGAUUCUGAAGACCUAGAAGACUGAGCCACAAGGUGAAAGGAGGCUGGGGCCCUGAGUGACUGAAUGGAGCAGAGCCAUUCCCAUCCCUGACCCACAGUGGAUGACUAUAUGAGGAAGCUCAGAGCCUUGGGGCCUUGCAUAAUUCAACUGGCCAGACUUCCAGGAGCUUGGUAGUCCCUGGAAAG